AUUGAACGCUGGCGGCAUGCCUUACACAUGCAAGUCGAACGGCAGCACGGGAGCAAUCCUGGUGGCGAGUGGCGAACGGGUGAGUAAUAUAUCGGAACGUGCCCGGUCGUGGGGAUAACGUAGCGAAAGCUACGCUAAUACCGCAUACGAUCUACGGAUGAAAGCGGGGGGAGUCGCAAGACCUCGCGCGAUUGGAGCGGCCGAUAUCAGAUUAGGUAGUUGGUGAGGUAAAGGCUCACCAAGCCGACGAUCUGUAGCUGGUCUGAGAGGACGACCAGCACACUGGGACUGAGACACGGCCCAGACUCCUACGGGAGGGCAGCAGUGGGGGAA
rnacentral:rRNA from 1 species